rnacentral:lncRNA from 1 species
CUUCAAAAAUUUGAGGGUGCUCAGAGUACAGCUCGGUAAUACAGCACCAGAGCGCAAAGUUCUGACUUCAAUCACAGCAGCAAAUAAUACCGAUGAUGGUGAGGGUGAUAGUAAUAGUAACAAAAUGAAAUAGGUUCGGGGACAUUUGUGAAAGCCAAAUAUAAUUACUUAACAUUUGCUAAUGGUCUUUGUCAUCAUUGGCAGCUAAAGAAACCACAAAUUUUAUUUUUUAAGCAAGAGCUAAAUAGUAAUUUAAUUUGUUGAUUAUACAUUCUCUUUCCAUUAGUUGACUCGUGUCCUAUUCUUAGGAAUUCUCCACACGUUUAACUGGCGGCCUCGCACGCUAAUGUCUAGUGUCUGGUGGCUCAUCACUGUACUGGGAAAAAAGGCAAAAUCAUUUCAAGAGCCAAGAAAGAACAAACAGAAGCCUGGAAAACUGCACAGCGCCUACAGGAUGUCCUGUUACAUUAUCUGCCCAGACAGACCCGUGACUCACGACAGAAUUUGACACAUCGGAAAUGGUUUUAUUGUGCAGGGCUCUUCUCUCCUCAUACAUACUGAACACAUAGAUCUGAGGAUAAUGGGUUACAUCUGUCCUAAUGUGAAACUUUCUGAUAGGAUUCUUUUUAAAGUGAAAGAAACUCUGGCUAUGUAGAAGAUGACAACUGAGAAAGGAUCAGGAGCCUCCAGUCGAGCCUGGUCCCAGAGCCCUAGCAUGCCUUCUCCAGUACAGAACAGCAAGUGUUGUGAGGGAGACACCACUUGACUGAAUCUCAGCACUCUGCCUUAUCACGCAAAGGUGGGCUAGCACCUGCUCCACCGAAAGACUUCUGCCCUUCACCCACGGGAAA